rnacentral:rRNA from 1 species
AACGAACGCUGGCGGCAGGCCUAACACAUGCAAGUCGAGCGAGGACUUCGGUUCUAGCGGCGGACGGGUGAGUAACGCGUGGGAAUGUGCCCUUCUCUACGGAAUAGCCCUGGGAAACUGGGAGUAAUACCGUAUACGCCCUAUUGGGGAAAGAUUUAUCGGAGAAGGAUGAGCCCGCGUUGGAUUAGGUAGUUGGUGGGGUAAUGGCCUACCAAGCCGACGAUCCAUAGCUGGUUUGAGAGGAUGAUCAGCCACACUGGGACUGAGACACGGCCCAGACUCCUACGGGAGGCAGCAGUGGGGAAUCGUAGACAAUGGGGGCAACCCUGAUCUAGCCAUGCCGCGUGAGUGAUGAAGGCCUUAGGGUUGUAAAGCUCUUUCAGCUGGGAAGAUAAUGACGGUACCAGCAGAAGAAGCCCCGGCUAACUCCGUG